UCUGCCGCACCAAAAAAGUGAUUAAAAAAAGUGAAAAAUCGAAGAAGAAGAAAAGAAGCAUCGAAGUGGAAGGGGACGUUGGAGUUAAGAAGAAGGCUGAGAAGAUUUCUUCCCUCUUAUUGGAGGAAUCCUAGAGGCUCCUCAAAUGCAUCGUGAGACUUGAACUUUGGAUUAUUAGUUCGUAUUUUUAGACUUGGGAUUAAGUGGAGUUGGUGGUUCAUGAGUUCUUAAAAGGGAGCAGAGAAUAAAAUUUGAGAUUGUUAUUGUUUUCUAGAUGAAGGUUGAUAAGUCUCUAAUGUUUAGUUGAUAUUGGAAGCUUUGUAAUAAUAAAAUAUUUUCCUUUAGGUUGAGUUUUAUAUCAAGUUAAGGAAUAUUCGUUAUUAUCAAGUUAAUUGGAUUAAUGUUAA